AAAUUGAAGAGUUUGAUCAUGGCUCAGAUUGAACGCUGGCGGCAGGCCUAACACAUGCAAGUCGAACGGUAACAGGAAACAGCUUGCUGUUUCGCUGACGAGUGGCGGACGGGUGAGUAAUGUCUGGGAAACUGCCUGAUGGAGGGGGAUAACUACUGGAAACGGUAGCUAAUACCGCAUAACGUCGCAAGACCAAAGAGGGGGACCUUCGGGCCUCUUGCCAUCGGAUGUGCCCAGAUGGGAUUAGCUAGUAGGUGGGGUAAAGGCUCACCUAGGCGACGAUCCCUAGCUGGUCUGAGAGGAUGACCAGCCACACUGGAACUGAGACACGGUCCAGACUCCUACGGGAGGCAGCAGUGGGGAAUAUUGCACAAUGGGCGCAAGCCUGAUGCAGCCAUGCCGCGUGUAUGAAGAAGGCCUUCGGGUUGUAAAGUACUUUCAGCGGGGAGGAAGGGAGUAAAGUUAAUACCUUUGCUCAUUGACGUUACCCGCAGAAGAAGCACCGGCUAACUCCGUGCCAGCAGCCGCGGUAAUACGGAGGGUGCAAGCGUUAAUCGGAAUUACUGGGCGUAAAGCGCACGCAGGCGGUUUGUUAAGUCAGAUGUGAAAUCCCCGGGCUCAACCUGGGAACUGCAUCUGAUACUGGCAAGCUUGAGUCUCGUAGAGGGGGGUAGAAUUCCAGGUGUAGCGGUGAAAUGCGUAGAGAUCUGGAGGAAUACCGGUGGCGAAGGCGGCCCCCUGGACGAAGACUGACGCUCAGGUGCGAAAGCGUGGGGAGCAAACAGGAUUAGAUACCCUGGUAGUCCACGCCGUAAACGAUGUCGACUUGGAGGUUGUGCCCUUGAGGCGUGGCUUCCGGAGCUAACGCGUUAAGUCGACCGCCUGGGGAGUACGGCCGCAAGGUUAAAACUCAAAUGAAUUGACGGGGGCCCGCACAAGCGGUGGAGCAUGUGGUUUAAUUCGAUGCAACGCGAAGAACCUUACCUGGUCUUGACAUCCACGGAAGUUUUCAGAGAUGAGAAUGUGCCUUCGGGAACCGUGAGACAGGUGCUGCAUGGCUGUCGUCAGCUCGUGUUGUGAAAUGUUGGGUUAAGUCCCGCAACGAGCGCAACCCUUAUCCUUUGUUGCCAGCGGUCCGGCCGGGAACUCAAAGGAGACUGCCAGUGAUAAACUGGAGGAAGGUGGGGAUGACGUCAAGUCAUCAUGGCCCUUACGACCAGGGCUACACACGUGCUACAAUGGCGCAUACAAAGAGAAGCGACCUCGCGAGAGCAAGCGGACCUCAUAAAGUGCGUCGUAGUCCGGAUUGGAGUCUGCAACUCGACUCCAUGAAGUCGGAAUCGCUAGUAAUCGUGGAUCAGAAUGCCACGGUGAAUACGUUCCCGGGCCUUGUACACACCGCCCGUCACACCAUGGGAGUGGGUUGCAAAAGAAGUAGGUAGCUUAACCUUCGGGAGGGCGCUUACCACUUUGUGAUUCAUGACUGGGGUGAAGUCGUAACAAGGUAACCGUAGGGGAACCUGCGGUUGGAUCACCUCCUUA
rnacentral:rRNA from 3 species